UUCCAGCAUUUAUUCCUAGACUGCUUCCUGUUGCCAACCUCACCUGUCUCUGACUCUCCUGCUUCGUCUGCCCCCUGGUAAACCACUCAGCUUUCUGUCUCCUACCAAGAACUCCCCUUACAUGUUCCUGGUUUAUGUUCGCUCGUUGCCUGUGGCUGUUUGGAGAGACCAUCACCCAGCUCUCCAUAGAUUGACUCAUCGUAGUUGUCAAGACCCUUGCUGCUUACAGCCAGCUCCACACAGUCACACCCUGGCGACGAUACUGAGGACAUGAAUUGUGAGCCGUUAUGCCUCCUCCUGCAGUUUGCCAGCAGUAACAUCAAGCUCUGUCAUUUCUCCUGUCACUGAAGGAGGCAGCCAUCUUUGCCGCCCUCAGCCACAGCUCCAGGUCUCAAUCAGCAUCCAGCGAUGAUGUUGAGAAGUCUCAUCCCUCCCACUGCAACCUGCCAGCACUAAUACCAACCUCCUCCGUAUUCCUUGUCUCUGGAGGAAACCUCCAAACUGACUUCAUCGCCAUCAGCCACAACUGGGUAGCUCUGUCACACUCCUGCCCCGGCUCUGUCCUGAGGGGACAGAGGCGCUCACAGGAGGGAAAAAUGGAGACUGACUGGGAGGAAAGAGGAGAGGAUAAAGGACUCCUCAAGGAAUUUUUUUUUUUUUUACAGUAACAAGCCUUUAGAAAAAGAAACUUUGAGGGCUGAUCAGCAAAGAGCUGGAGGAUGAUACCCUGCUACAAGUAACCAGAUUUUAUGCUUGACAUUCUCCAUUUUAAAGAAACAUGUAUAACAAUAAGAUAAAGUAGAUUUGAUUAUAACAAGUCCUCUAAACUUGUUAUUGUCUCUAACUUAAUCUUGCCUUCUGCAAUGACACAUAA